AUGCAAGUCGAACGAUGAACCACUUCGGUGGGGAUUAGUGGCGAACGGGUGAGUAACACGUGGGCAAUCUGCCCUGCACUCUGGGACAAGCCCUGGAAACGGGGUCUAAUACCGGAUACUGAUCCUCGCAGGCAUCUGCGAGGUUCGAAAGCUCCGGCGGUGCAGGAUGAGCCCGCGGCCUAUCAGCUAGUUGGUGAGGUAACGGCUCACCAAGGCGACGACGGGUAGCCGGCCUGAGAGGGCGACCGGCCACACUGGGACUGAGACACGGCCCAGACUCCUACGGGAGGCAGCAGUGGGGAAUAUUGCACAAUGGGCGAAAGCCUGAUGCAGCGACGCCGCGUGAGGGAUGACGGCCUUCGGGUUGUAAACCUCUUUCAGCAGGGAAGAAGCGAAAGUGACGGUACCUGCAGAAGAAGCGCCGGCUAACUACGUGCCAGCAGCCGCGGUAAUACGUAGGGCGCAAGCGUUGUCCGGAAUUAUUGGGCGUAAAGAGCUCGUAGGCGGCUUGUCACGUCGGUUGUGAAAGCCCGGGGCUUAACCCCGGGUCUGCAGUCGAUACGGGCAGGCUAGAGUUCGGUAGGGGAGAUCGGAAUUCCUGGUGUAGCGGUGAAAUGCGCAGAUAUCAGGAGGAACACCGGUGGCGAAGGCGGAUCUCUGGGCCGAUACUGACGCUGAGGAGCGAAAGCGUGGGGAGCGA
rnacentral:rRNA from 1 species